rnacentral:snRNA from 1 species
GGAGGAUCUGAAGGCAGUUGUCUAUCAUACCAUUGAUCACUAUGGUUAAUUUGUCUGCUCUAGAUGACCGGUGGCUGUGCCCUUCCUCCGCCAUUCCUUGUGCAUCUUCUUCCUAAAAUGGAUUGCUCAGUUGGUGAAGACAACCUUUGCUGGUAGGGGAAGGCCAUUCUGUCAUCAGUAAAGAGCAACUGUGCUCUCCUUCUAGAAUCUCCCCCAAAACUCUCAAGAAAUGCACUGUAUCAUGUGAUGGGCAGCUGUCACAUGCUAGUUCCUGUCAGUAUGAUACUGAGUAAUGCUG